GACGAACGCUGGCGGCGUGCUUAACACAUGCAAGUCGAACGGAAAGGCCCUGCUUUUGUGGGGUUCUCGUGUGGCGAACGGGUGAGUAACACGUGAGUAACCUGCCCUUGACUUUGGGAUAACUUCAGGAAACUGGGGCUAAUACCGGAUAGGAGCUCCUGCUGCAUGGUGGGGGUUGGAAAGUUUCGGCGGUUGGGGAUGGACUCGCGGCUUAUCAGCUUGUUGGUGGGGUUGGGGCUUACCAAGGCUUUGACGGGUAGCCGGCCUGAGAGGGUGACCGGCCACAUUGGGACUGAGAUAGGGACCAGACUCCUACGGGAGGCAGCAGUGGGGAAUAUUGCACAAUGGGCGGAAGCCUGAUGCAGCAACGCCGCGUGCGGGAUGCCGGCCUUCGGGUUGUAAACAGCUUUCGACUGUGACGAAGCGUGAGUGACGGUAAUGGGUAAAGAAGCACCGGCUAACUACGUG
rnacentral:rRNA from 1 species